GGUAGGCAUGUGCAGGAUUAAUCGUAGGUUGUCCGAAAGGACAGCAGCGCAUAUAGCGUGGGUUCCUACGACCUGAGGUCUGCCGUUUU
rnacentral:ncRNA from 1 species